ACUUUUUACAUCGAUGAUGCUAAACUGUUAUUGAGUGUUGUUAAAGGAAAGGUGAUGUAACACAGCGGUAAACAUGUCCCUGUCCCAGCUUUUUUGGAAUGUGUUGCAGGCAUCAAAUUCAAAGUGGUUGACCCAGAAGGGAGUUUGUCAGAGGAGACGAAGAACGAGACCACAGAGGAUGUCAGAAUUGAGGACAAUAAAGCACCAGGAUCUUAAAUCUGUUUUUAUUUGCUGU